rnacentral:rRNA from 1 species
GAUGAACGCUAGCGGCAGGCCUAACACAUGCAAGUCGAGGGAGAAGCCCUUCGGGGCAGAAACCGGCGCACGGGUGCGUAACGCGUAUGCAACCUACCUUUCACAGGGGGAUAGCCCGAAGAAAUUUGGAUUAAUACCCCAUAAUAUUAUUGGAUGGCAUCAUUUGAUAAUUAAAAUUACGAUGGUGAAAGAUGGGCAUGCGUCCUAUUAGCUAGUUGGAGUGGUAACGGUACCCCAAGGCUACGAUAGGUAGGGGUCCUGAGAGGGAGAUCCCCCACACUGGUACUGAGACAGGGACCAGACUCCUACGGGAGGCAGCAGUGAGGAAUAUUGGUCAAUGGUCGGAAGACUGAACCAGCCAUGCCGCGUGCAGGAAGAAUGCCUUAUGGGUUGUAAACUGCUUUUAUAUGGGAAGAAUAAGGAGUACGUGUACUUUGAUGACGGUACCAUAUGAAUAAGCUUCG